UGCGCAGGCGGGGAUGCAAGUCAGUGGUGAAAUACUGCCGCUCAACGGUAGAACUGCCAUUGAUACUGCAUCUCUUGAGUAUGGUUGAGGUAGGCGGAAUGUGUUGUGUAGCGGUGAAAUGCAUAGAUAUGACACAGAACGCCAAUUGCGAAGGCAGCUUACUAAACCAUUACUGACGCUGAGGCACGAAAGCGUGGGGAGCGAACAGGAUUAGAUACCCUGGUAGUCC
rnacentral:rRNA from 1 species